rnacentral:rRNA from 1 species
UACAGAGGGUGCAAGCGUUAAUCGGAAUUACUGGGCGUAAAGCGCGCGUAGGUGGUUGUGUAAGUUGGAUGUGAAAGCCCCGGGCUUAACCUGGGAACUGCAUUCAAAACUGCACGGCUAGAGUACGGUAGAGGGUAGUGGAAUUUCCUGUGUAGCGGUGAAAUGCGUAGAUAUAGGAAGGAACACCAGUGGCGAAGGCGACUACCUGGACUGAUACUGACACUGAGGUGCGAAAGCGUGGGGAGCAAACAGGAUUAGAAACCCUAGUAGU